rnacentral:rRNA from 2 species
UUAAAUGAUUUCUUCGGAAUGAACUUAAGUGGAUUAGUGGCGGACGGGUGAGUAACGCGUGAGUAACCUGCCUUACACAAGGGGAUAGCCGUUGGAAACGACGAAUAAUACCCUAUGAAACUAUCACUUCGCAUGAAGCGAUAGUCAAAGUGUUAGCGGUGUAAGAUGGACUUGCGUCUGAUUAGCUAGUUGGUGAGAAAAAAGCCCACCAAGGCAACGAUCAGUAGCCGGCUUGAGAGAGUGUACGGCCACAUUGGGACUGAGACACGGCCCAGACUCCUACGGGAGGCAGCAGUGGGGAAUUUUGCACAAUGGGGGAAACCCUGAUGCAGCGACGCCGCGUGAUUUAGAAGGCCUUCGGGUUGUAAAAAUCUUUUGUAUAGGAAGAAAAUGACAGUACUAUACGAAUAAGGUCCGGCUAAUUACGUGCCAGCAGCCGCGGUAAUACGUAAGGACCGAGCGUUGUCCGGAAUCAUUGGGCGUAAAGGGUACGUAGGCGGGUCAUUAAGUUAGAAGUCAAAGGCUAUAGCUCAACUAUAGUAAGCUUCUAAAACUGGAGACCUUGAGUAAUGGAAGGGAAAGUGGAAUUCCUAGUGUAGCGGUGGAAUGCGCAGAUAUUAGGAGGAAUACCGGUGGCGAAGGCGACUUUCUGG